ensembl:lncRNA
AUAGCAACCAAAUAAGGAUGUGGUAGCAGGGAAGGUCCAAGCUGAUAAGGAAGCAGGUCAGAAGCAGCAGGAUCGCAAAGAAAUUUUAAUGAUGACAGGAUAGCAGCUGCAUUUCUGAGUAAAAGGGAUCCGUUGACGCCAGCUGAAGCGAGUGGUCCAAUCAACUGUGGAAGAGCAACGAAUGCAAGGAGAAUGGAUUCUCAUGGGAACGUAGCUGACUGGAAGGCAAUGGAACAUCAUCUAGAAGACCAAGGAUUGGGGCGAUCUGAAAACCUUGAAGUUCAACAGCGUGGGGUCUAAGCCAGAAGAACUUGUGAAGAGGAUUUUCAAGACCCAGUGUCAGUAUUAAGCCCAUAAUGUCUGUGGCUCAUAGGACAAAAGG